AAGAGAACUCAUUGAUUUGCGCAAUUUUCAUCCAACUCGCUGGCCGUUGGUGGGCUCUCUCUCUACUCUCUUUCUCUCUCUAUAAGUAUAGAGUAGAUUCUACUAUGUUUCUUUCUGCUCUCACUUAAAUCUAGGGUUUCAAUUGUGGUUUGAGAUGGUGGAGAGAAGGAAACCUUUGGUUCUCUCUUCAACGAAAGCCCUCAUCAAUUCCGUUCUAAGUUCGUCAAGAACUAAAGAAGGAGAUGGAGUUGACGGAAAAACCUCAUCGUCGCUGCAGUUACCGGCGGGAAUUCUCCAAUUAUCGAAGGACCGAACUGACAUUUCACUCCCGAAGGUGGCCUCUCUCGACGACUGUGUCUUGGUUGGGCUCCCCAUUUCUAUUUUCAAGAAACUAUCGAUAACUUCAGGAUCACUGAUACUUGUCAAGAAUGUUGAGACAAACGUACAGAGAAUUGGCCAAGCUGUCGUCCUUGAUCCUCCCAAGACCCAUGAACACUCAUUAGAUAGUAGAUUACCCUUUUCCCAGUCUUCUCGUGUAAUGCUAGUUUUUCCUUCAUAUAGUCUCCCUCAAAUUCAUAGUGUGUUGUUGGAUCAAGAAGUUGCCUAUCUAUCUCCCCUUCUGGCAUUUAACCUUAGUUUGCAUGUAUCGUGCCUGAAAUUUCUUGUUCACCGGGGGAAAGAAGCUUUGGCAUCUUUAUUUGAGGUUAACAUGGAUGAUGAAACAAAUGGAAAAGGGGGAGAAGCGCCUAUCAUCAGUGUAGGACUCGAACCUUGGGCUUUAUUACCAAGAUAUGCCUCACACUUGAGGGUUUCUUUUGUGAAGAUACCAGAAUGUGGUACCUUUGAAUCACUUAAAGAAAGUUCGUCUAUUGAAGCUGAAGAUCGUCAAGAAAUGAUUGAUCUGGCAUUACAUAAUUACUUUGAAACAGAUAGAUAUCUUGCCAGAGGUGAUCUUUUCAGUAUUUGCAUCAAUUGGAAUUGCAGUUCAGCUUUGUGCAUUCCAUGCAGCCAAAAGAUGCAAAAUACCAAUGGCACCAUCAUCUACUUCAAGGUUGUGGCUAUGGAGCCCUCAGAUGAACCAGUUCUCAGAGUCAAUCGUAGUCAAACUGCCCUUGUGCUUGGAGGGAGUGUUCCUUCUGCUGUUCCUCCAGAUUUGUUGAUUGCUGGACCUAAAGGCAUUGUGCCCGUACAAGGAGACACAGUAAAGACUUUGGCCUCCAUACUGACACCACCUCUGUGUCCAUCAGCACUUUCAUCAAAAUUCAGGGUUGCUGUUCUGUUAUAUGGUUUGCCCGGGUGUGGGAAGAGGACUGUGGUUAAAUUUGUUGCUCGCCGUUUGGGCCUGCAUGUAGUAGAAUACAGUUGUCAUAAUCUGAUGGCAUCCUCUGAAAAAAAGACGUCCAUUAUGCUAUCUCAAGCUUUCAAUGUGGCUCGCAGAUAUUCACCCACAAUUCUUCUUCUCCGCCAUUUUGAUGCUUUCCGGAGUCUGGUCUCUCACGAGGGUUCACCACAUGAUCAAGCUGCUAUUAGCUCUGAAAUUGCAUCUGUUAUCAGGGAAUUUACGGAGCCAGUUGUUGAAGAUGAAGACAUCUAUUGUGAAGAAAAAUCCAAUGUUGAUUCUCAAGUGAACAGUGCUGAAAAGAUAAGCAGGCAUCAAGUGUUGUUAGUUGCAGCUGCUGACAGUUCUGAAGGUCUGCCACCAACUAUCAGACGCCGUUUCAGCCAUGAAAUCAGCAUGGGUCCUUUGACUGAAGAACAAAGGGUCGAAAUGCUGUCCCAGUCACUUCAACAUGUUUCUGAACAAUUUCCGGAUACUGCUUCAGAAGAUCUUCUAAGGGACAUAGUUGGACAGACAUCUGGUUUCAUGCCUAGGGAUAUGCGUGCUUUCAUUGCUGAUGCUGGUGCAAAUUUAAUUCCUAGGCAGGAUAUUAAAUUUGACGAAGUUGAAGCUGAGGCCUUUGUUGAAAAGGGUUCUGUGCAGCACAAUAAAACAUGCGAUGUUGUACCUCGAGCUCUGGGUAAAGAAGACUUGGCAAAAGCAUUGGAGCGAUCAAAGAAAAGAAAUGCAUCAGCUUUGGGCACUCCAAAGGUUCCUGAUGUGAAAUGGGAGGAUGUUGGUGGGCUUGAGGAUGUCAAGAAAUCAAUUCUGGACACCGUUCAGCUACCUCUACUGCACAAGGAUUUGUUUUCAUCUGGGUUGCGGAAACGCUCUGGUGUUCUUCUUUAUGGUCCUCCUGGGACUGGAAAAACUCUGUUGGCGAAAGCUGUGGCAACAGAAUGUUCCUUGAACUUUCUCAGCGUAAAAGGGCCUGAACUUAUUAACAUGUACAUAGGAGAGUCGGAGAAAAAUGUGAGAGACAUUUUUCAGAAGGCCAGAUCAGCACGUCCCUGUGUAAUCUUCUUUGAUGAACUUGAUUCCCUUGCUCCAGCAAGGGGUGCUUCUGGCGAUUCGGGUGGUGUUAUGGACCGCGUGGUUUCUCAGAUGCUUGCAGAGAUCGAUGGCCUGAAUGACUCUGCACAGGACUUGUUUAUAAUAGGAGCGAGCAACAGACCAGAUCUUAUUGACCCAGCCCUUCUACGGCCUGGCCGAUUUGAUAAGCUCCUCUAUGUUGGAGUUAAUUCUGAGACAUCUUAUAGAGAGCGGGUCCUUAAAGCACUAACCCGAAAGUUUAGAUUGCAAGAAGAUGUUUCCCUUUACUCAAUAGCAAAGAAAUGCCCCCCAAACUUCACUGGUGCGGACAUAUAUGCCUUGUGUGCAGAUGCUUGGUUUCACGCAGCGAGGCGCAAGGUUUUAGAUCCACAUUCAGAUUCUACUUGCAGAAUUGAUGAAGCCGACUCUGUUAUUGUUGAAUACGAUGACUUUGUGAAGGUCUUGGAGGAACUGUCUCCAUCACUUUCUGUAGCGGAGCUCAAGAAGUAUGAGCUGUUACGGGAUCAGUUUGAAGGAGCUUCAAGAUGAAUUUUGUUUGUCCUGCUCAAUGAUCAUGGUCUGCAAGGAUACUGCAGAUCUUCUCCUACAAUACACAAGUAUUUGAUGAUUCUUUAAUAUAAAGUUACCUAAUAGGAUCUUGGUCACGAGUAAAUGAGGGGAACAACUGAAGUGACAACAACAGCAGCUUCUUAUAAAUAAAUAAUCGUUGCUUCUUUGGUGCUGAACGUCAAACCCUUCCAAGAUCAGUGUUGGUUCCUUCCAAGAUCAAUGUUGGUUCCAUUAACGCAGGCUGCUGUGGAUAAAUGAGUUUGAACUCAUGUUCUUUCACUGGGUCAUUUGAGCUUCUGUAACGCUGGAUAUCCGUAAUGAAGCAACCCUCUCUCUCUCUCCACACACAAUUUUAAUGUUGUUUCA